UACAGAGGGCUCGAGCGUUAAUCGGAAUCACUGGGCUUAAAGCGUGCGUAGGCGGGCCUGUAGGCCUGUCGUGAAAUCCCACGGCUCAACCGUGGAAUAGCGAUGGGAACCACAGGUCUUGAGGCAGGUAGAGGCAGUUGGAACGAUAGGUGGAGCGGUGAAAUGCGUAGAUAUCUAUCGGAACGCCAAAGGAGAAGUCAGACUGCUGGGCCUGAACUGACGCUGAGGCACGAAAGCGUGGGUAGCGAACGGGAUUAGAUACCCCGGUAGUCCACGCCCUAAACAAUGCGCACUGGGUCGGGAGAGCUUGACGCUCCCUCGGCCGCAGCAAAAGUGUUAAGUGCGCCGCCUGGGGAGUACGGUCGCAAGAUUAAAACUCAAAGGAAUUGACGGGGGCUCACACAAGCGGUGGAGCAUGUGGCUCAAUUCGAAGCAACGCGAAGAACCUUAUCCUAGGCUUGACAUGCAAGUAUCAACCCCGUGAAAGCGGGGCCACAGUCGCAAGACCGGAACUUGCACAGGUGCUGCAUGGCUGUCGUCAGCUCGUGCUGUGAAGUGUCGGGUUAAGUCCCUCAACGAGCGAAACCCCUGUCUCUAGUUGCUAACGGGUAAUGCCGAGAACUCUAGCGAGACUGCCGGUGUCAAACCGGAGGAAGGUGGGGAUGACGUCAAGUCCGCAUGGCCCUUAUGCCUAGGGCUGCACACGUGCUACAAUGGCACCGACAGAACGACGCAAGACCGCAAGGUGGAGCAAAUCGCUCAAAAGGUGCCCCAGUUCGGAUUGGAGGCUGCAACUCGCCUCCAUGAAGUCGGAAUCGCUAGUAAUCGCGGAUCAGCUACGCCGCGGUGAAUAUGUUCCUGAGCCU
rnacentral:rRNA from 1 species